CUAGGUACAGUUUUAGUAGGACCCACACCAGUAAAUAUCAUAGGAAGGAACAUUUUAACUCAAAUUGGAUGUACUCUAAAUUUUCCUAUUAGCCCUAUUGAAACUGUACCAGU
rfam:Simian immunodeficiency virus isolate SIVcpzLB7, complete genome.